rnacentral:lncRNA from 1 species
AGCAAUACGACAAUAUUUACAAGCAGUUUGUUGGAUUUUCACGAACAAAUCAAGUAAGGAUGGCUUACAUCUUCCCGGAUAUCUUUCAGAUGAUGUACAAGAAAGCAUUUUGUAUAUUUAUAAUACAUAUGCUGUUUUGAUAUUAAUUGUAGUAUACUAUAAUAUAGUAUUGAAACAAUAUGAAUUCAUAAACUUAUAUAUGGUCAUUUUAUCUUCGGUUGUCUUGAUCUAUUCGUCAGUAAUGUCCUAUUUAUACAAUGAGUCAAAAUUCAUUUUAGUUUAUUUGUUUGUGUGGCGAUGUGCCAAGGCCAAUGCGAUGACAGGACCACAUCAGCAAUUUGCUGCUCAUUUUUAAAUCGUGUUUAAAAAAUGACAAUGUUUUUAUUGAUGAGUUUAUAGUGUUCAUUCUAUAUGUAUGCAAGUCUUUAAUAAUAAUCAGGCUUAAUAUAAAGAUUCCAUAGUGUCCCAGUGUGGAUUGUUGACUUUGUGUACUUGUGUGCACAUAUUAACUAUAAAUACAGUUAUUAUUAUGCAUGAGUCAAUUCCAGGAGUAACCCCCCUCUCCCCCAGGAACACACUCUAGAAUUUCAUUUGAUUGGUUACAAUAGUGCAAAUGCCAGGGUACAGGGACACAACUAGGAGACUAAUCCAGGGUACAGGGACACAACAAGGAGAUUAAUGCAUGGCCCUCAGAAACCACUGCCAGCAGGGUACCCUUGGGCAAGCUGAGAGUGGAAAAUUUUAAUGGCAUAUCAUAGGCAUAGUCAUUUAAUAACAUUAUACUAUUAAACUGCUAUGGAAUACUAUAAAACUUUAAUCUUGCUGAGAGUGGUUAAAAGGAUUUAAACAACGAAAUCAUAAAUCUUUAAUAGUUGUAUUUAAAUUUGCAUGGCACGUACAGCUAAUAAUUUCGCAAUUUAAGCGAAACCAUUCGUCAAAUCCCUGGGACUCAGCUACUAUAACAAUACCCAGCCCCGGUGCACGUAUAUGACAGGCAAAUUCCCGACCCCUGUGAACUGUCUAUCGGAAUUAUGUCUCAGGAAUUGACUCGUGCAUUACAUGUAAUGCACCAGUAAAAGUAAAGCCCACCCCGGGAUAUAGGUGGGGAUUAAUUGGCUUUGAAUAGUGUACCAAAACAGACAAAUGCCCCCCCCCAUAUGGAACAAAAUAUGGCAAAAGACAUCCCGGGGGAAAAUUGUAAGUUGUGUAAGUGAAUGUAUCUCUUAAUUAAAUUAAUUUAAAAUACUCAUUGAAAAUUUAUAAACCUGGUGGCAAAUCAUGUCAGCCAUAACAUGUCACAUGGAGUGACUUUAUAUCUGAUAAUACUUGUCUUCAUUAGUAUUCUUUAUAUAAUUAUUCAUCCUAAUAAGUAUGAUUAUAUAAUUGUUCAUCCUAAUUAGUGUUCUUUUGUAGUCGUAUUUUAACCCAUUAAGCGCCAGCGCUCUCUCCCCUUGACGAGUAAAAUCGUCUGGCGUUAGACAGAGUAAAAUACUAAAGUAGGGUGCAUCAGGGUGCAAUGCAACUCCAUGGGUUAAGCUAUUCAAAACACUCGAACUCGUGUUUUAUCAUAUCUAAAACACUCGGCUGCGCCUUGCAUUUUAAAUAUGGUAAAACACUCCUUCUUGUGUUUUAAAUACUAAAUCAAACAUAUUAAAAUAGUGUAAUUAGUGAAUUAUAACAAAUUUAUAAAAUACCUCUCGAAUUCCUUGCAAGGACGCCAUCUUGACCUUUGUCACAUGGUAUAAAAUGAUAGAAUCUGGGGAUUUCAUUCGACAAAAUAGUACAAAAUGUAUAUAUGGCUGCCAACAAUCCUCUAACAACCCACACUAUCUUCCAGGUGUAAUUUGGCAGAAUGACAAAACCAACAAAUUUUCAAUAUGGGGUUGGGAAUUACUUUGACUGGUGCAUAAAUUCAUAAUAGCAUAACAAUUGACUUUUGUAAAAGGUGGUACGAUCUGCUUAUAUCUCUGAAAUGAUCCUACCAGCCUACAUUCAUAUAUUCACCUGGCUGUAUCACUACAUUUUAGGGUAUACUUAUAUACUAUACUAUAUUGCUUACAAUUUCUUAUUAUAUAUUUUUGCAGUUCUGACUGAGUACAAUCUUAAUCAUUACAAUGGGUGAUGUCAUCUGAAGCUGGCAUAUUGAACAAAAAUGUCAACAAAUAGAUUGUGUUUCCCAAUCAGCAAAUUGUUUGGUUGUUCUACGAUAAGGGGUAGCCUUGAAGGUGCCAUUAAAACGAUAAUUGGGACAAAAACUGACUUUAAUUAAAAAUUGAUAUUAUACAGUAUGCACUGGCAAGCUGGUCAUGGCAACUGGUCAUGUUAUGCUAAUAAACCUGCAUCAUUUGAAUAAUACAAAUCAUUAAAAACUUUCAUGGCAUGACCUGUUGCUAUGGCUUGCAAUAUUUAGCUGAGCUUCGACUUUGUGCAAGGUGUUUGAUAUUCAAAUUGCACUUUUCCUACCUCCUGAAUAGGCAUCUUAGGGGCUGUUUGAAUGUUGGAAGGCGGUUGAAAUAAGUCACUAUAAGCUAAAUGAAAGUUCAAAUGCUUGUUAAAAAUCUUGCAGUUCAAGAAGAUUAUUAUUGCUGCUUGAACAACCUUUUGUUUACAGUUUAUAAUCUAUCUUAUUAAUGUAGUUUUUUUGCUGAAUCAUGCAUUGUGAGUAAGUUUGUUAAUUUCAAUAUAUCAAAAUAAUCCUGACUCAAAUCUCGUCCUGGCAAAGCGGGAUAAAAUCAACCCUUAUUCUGCAAAUUGUGCAAUAUCCCUUUGGGAGUGAGGGCGGUGAGGCAGCACUUUCC